rnacentral:rRNA from 1 species
ACCCCUGUGAGAAUGCCCACCGCCCCCUGCCAGGGGACAAGGAGCGGGUAUCAGGCACAAUUUACUUAGCCCACGACGCCUUGCUUAGCCACACCCUCAAGGGAAUUCAGCAGUGAUAAAUAUUAAGCCAUAAGCGAAAGCUUGACUUAGUUAAAGCCAAAUAGGGCCGGUAAAACUCGUGCCAGCCACCGCGGUUAUACGAGAGGCUCAAGUUGACAACCAACGGCGUAAAGCGUGGUUAGGGGAAAUAUAAAUUAAAGCUGAACGCCCACAAUGCUGUCUAACGCUUCGAGGGUAUGAAGAACAUCGACGAAAGUGGCUUUAUAACACCUGAACCCACGAAAGCUGGGAAACAAACUGGGAUUAGAUACCCCACUAUGCCCAGCCCUAAAAAUUGAUUGAACGCUACAACCUCAAUCCGCCUGGGUAUUACGAACUUCGGUUUAAAACCCAAAGGACUUGGCGGUGCUUUAAAACCUUCUAGAGGAGCCUGUCCUGUAACCGAUACUCCCCGUUAAACCUCACCCUCUCUUGCUCGUUCCC